rnacentral:lncRNA from 1 species
CUGGGAGCAGGGACUAACUGAAACUUAUAACACAUACCUGUAGACCAGCACUCAUAGAGGCAUUAUUCAGUAACUGUCAAAAAUAUUGGAUUUUGUUUGCUGCUGCUGUUUCUGAGGCUAUGUGAGUCAGGAUGCACCCAAACCUUGGGCUCCAGCAAUCACCCCAGCCGGGGGCUUCCUGGGUAAUGCACACCACUGUGCCCAGCUGCGACACUUUAUUUUUAAUGAGCAGGUGUAAAGAUGGAGCAGACAUUGAAGGAAUGGCCUAAUGGGAGUCCUGGUCUCACCCAAGUAGAAGGGACUGAGCAAUACAGCUGCCCAUUGCUGGGGUAAUUGGGCUGCAGAUGGUAAAUCUCCAAAUCUGUAAAUCCCCUGGCAGAGACCCACAACCAUACUUUAUGCAAAUAGAAUCUCAAUUGGAGGUCUCCAUUGGGUUCCUCCACUUGGAGCUCAGGGAACACUGAAGAAGAGGCAGAAGAAAGAUUGUUAAGAGUCAGAGGGGAUUGAAAACACCAGGCCUGCUCUUUCCUGAAGAGGAAAUGAAGAAGGAUUAGAUGUGAAGAAGAGAACUUGGCUGGGCGGGGUGUGGUGGGAGGCAUGGUAGAAGUGGAAGAAGAGGAAACUAGCUGGAAUGUAUUGCAUGAAAGAAUCUAUUUUUCAAUUAAAAAGUAAAUUUUAAAAAAGAAAAAAUAAAAAUAA